GUUGUAGGUGGGGUAACGGCCCACCUAGCCGAUAAUCAGUAGGGGCGAUGGGAGUCGGAGCCCCGAGAAGGACACUGAGACAAGGGUCCUAGUCCUACGGGAUGCAGCAGGCGCGAAAAUUUUACAAUGCGCGAAAGCGUGAUAGAGGAAAUCUGAGUGGUAAUGGACAAAGUCCAUUAUCUUUUUGUAACCCCAAAUAGGUUGCAGAAUAAGUGCUGGGUAAGACCAGUGCCAGCCGCCGCGGUAAUACUGGCAGCACGAGUGGUGCCCACGUAUAUUGGGUCUAAAGAGUCCGUAGCUGGUUUGUUAAGUUCACUGUGAAAACUUGGAGCCUAACUUCAAGAAGUGCAGUGAAUACUGGCAGGCUUGAGAGUGGGGGAGGUAAGGAGUACUUACGGGGUAGGAGUAAAAUCCUGUAAUCCUGUGAGGACUACCAGUGGCGUAGGCGCCUUACCAAAACACGUCUGACAGUGAGGGACGAAGGCUAGGAGAACGAAUCGGAUUAGAUACCCGAGUAGCCCUAGCAGUAAAUUAUGCAGACUGUGGUGUUGCCGUGGCCUCGAGCCCCGGCAGUGCCGUAGCGUAGGUGUUAAGUCUGCCACCUGGGGAGUACGGCCGCAAGGCUGAAACUUAAAAGAAUUGGCGGGGGAGCACCACAAGGGGUGGAAGCUGCGGUUCAAUUGGAUACAACGCCGGGAACAUUACCCUGAGCGACGGCAGAAUGAAGGUCAGACUAAAGAUCUUACCUAACGAGCCGAGAAGUGCUGCAUGGCCAUCGUCAGCUCGUGGCAUGAGCUGUCCCGUUAAGUCGGGUAACGAGCGAGACCCUUACUCACUGUUGCAAUUUUCAUCUCAGGAUGAGAAGCACCCUGUGAGGACUGCCCGUGUUAAAUGGGAGGAAGGUGAGGGCGACGGUAGGUCAGUAUGGCCUAAAUCUCAGGGGCUACACGCGGCUUACAAUGACAGUCACAAUGGGCGGCGACUCCGAAAGGAGAAGCUAAUCCCCGAAAGGCUGCCUCAGUUCGGAUCGAGGGUUGCAACCCACCCUCGUGAAGCUGGAAUCCCUAGUAAUCGCUUGUCACCAACGAGCGGUGAAUACGUCCCCGCUCCUUGCACACACCGCCCGUCAAAUCACCCAAGCUGGUUUUCAGCGAGGCGACGAUCUUUGUCGUUGUCGAACUGGUUGUCGGUGAGGGGGGUUAAGUCGUAACAAGGUA
rnacentral:rRNA from 1 species